rnacentral:rRNA from 1 species
GAUGAACGCUGGCGGCGUGCCUAAUACAUGCAAGUCGAGCGAAUGGAUUAAGAGCUUGCUCUUAUGAAGUUAGCGGCGGACGGGUGAGUAACACGUGGGUAACCUGCCCAUAAGACUGGGAUAACUCCGGGAAACCGGGGCUAAUACCGGAUAACAUUUUGAACCGCAUGGUUCGAAAUUGAAAGGCGGCUUCGGCUGUCACUUAUGGAUGGACCCGCGUGGCAUUAGCUAGUUGGUGAGGUAACGGCUCACCAAGGCAACGAUGCGUAGCCGGCCGGAGAGGGUGAUCGGCCACACUGGGACUGAGACAGGGCCCAGACGCCUACGGGAGGCAGCAGUAGGGAAUCUUCCGCAAUGGACGAAAGUCUGACGGAGCAACGCCGCGUGAGUGAUGAAGGCUUUCGGGUCGUAAAACUCUGUUGUUAGGGAAGGACAAGUGCUAGUUGAAUAAGCUGGCACCUUGACGGUACCUAACCAGAAAGCCACGGCUAACUACGUGCCAGCCGCCGCAGUAA